rfam:Tupaia chinensis contig86047, whole genome shotgun sequence.
CAGUGCAGUCACCCAUAAAGUAGAAAGCACUACUAACAGCAAUGGAGGGUGUAGUGUUUCCUACUUUAUGGAUGAGUGUACUGU